UCAAGUAAUUAAGUGCAUGUGGUGGAUGCCUUGGCAGUCAGAGGCGAUGAAAGACGUGAUAGCCUGCGAAAAGCUCCGGGGAGGCGGCAAAUAUCCUUUGAUCCGGAGAUGUCUGAAUGGGGGAACCCACCUACUUUAAGGUAGGUAUUGCAACAUGAAUACAUAGUGUUGCAAGGCGAACGAGGGGAAGUGAAACAUCUCAGUACCCUUAGGAAAAGAAAUCAAUUGAGAUUCCCUCAGUAGCGGCGAGCGAACGGGGAUCAGCCCAUUAAGUUAUGUGUGUUUUAGUGGAACGCUCUGGGAAGUGCGAACGUAGAGGGUGAUAUUCCCGUACACGAAAGGGCACACAUAAUGAUGACGAGUAGGGCGAGGCACGUGAAACCUUGUCUGAAUAUGGGGGGACCAUCCUCCAAGGCUAAAUACUCCUGACUGACCGAUAGUGAACCAGUACCGUGAGGGAAAGGCGAAAAGAACCCCUGUGAGGGGAGUGAAAUAGAUCCUGAAACCGCAUGCAUACAAGCAGUGGGAGCACCUUCGUGGUGUGACUGCGUACCUUUUGUAUAAUGGGUCAGCGACUUAUAUUCAGUAGCGAGGUUAACCGUAUAGGGAGCCGUAGAGAAAUCGAGUCUUAAUAGGGCGUUUAGUUGCUGGGUAUAGACCCGAAACCAGGCGAUCUAUCCAUGAGCAGGUUGAAGGUUGGGUAACACUAACUGGAGGACCGAACCCACUGUCGUUGAAAAGCCAGGGGAUGACUUGUGGAUAGGGUGAAAGGCUAAUCAAGCCUGGUGAUAGCUGGUUCUCCCCGAAAGCUAUUUAGGUAGCGCCUCGGACGAAUACCAUAGGGGGUAGAGCACUGUUUCGGCUAGGGGGUCAUCCCGACUUACCAAACCGAUGCAAACUCCGAAUACCUAUGAGUACUAUCCGGGAGACAGACUGCGGGUGCUAACGUCCGUAGUCAAGAGGAAAACAAUCCAGACCGCCAGCUAAGGCCCCAAAAUCAUAGUUAAGUGGGAAACGAUGUGGGAAGGCAUAGACAGCUAGGAGGUUGGCUUAGAAGCAGCCACCCUUUAAAGAAAGCGUAAUAGCUCACUAGUCGAGUCGGCCUGCGCGGAAGAUGUAACGGGGCUAAAACUAUGUGCCGAAGCUGCGGAUGUAUACUUUGUAUACGUGGUAGGGGGAGCGUUCUGUAAGCCGAUGAAGGUGUGUUGAGAAGCAUGCUGGAGGUAUCAGAAGUGCGAAUGCUGACGUGAGUAACGACAAAACGGGUGAAAAACCCGUUCGCCGAAAGACCAAGGGUUCCAGUCCAACGUUAAUCGGGGCUGGGUGAGUCGACCCCCUAAGGCGAGGCCGAAAGGCGUAGUCGAUGGGAAAAUGGUUAAUAUUCCAUUACUUCUGUGUAAUGCGAUGAGAGGACGGAGAAGGCUAAAUCAGCCUGGCGUUGGUUGUCCAGGUGAAAGGAUGUAGGCAUGUAUCUUAGGCAAAUCCGGGGUACUCUAUGCUGAGAUCUGAUAGCAAGCUGUACUUGUACAGCGAAGUGGUUGAUGCCAUGCUUCCAGGAAAAGUCUCUAAGCUUCAGUUACACAGGAAUCGUACCCGAAACCGACACAGGUGGUCAGGUCGAGUAGACCAAGGCGCUUGAGAGAACUCUGCUGAAGGAACUAGGCAAAAUGGUACCGUAACUUCGGGAGAAGGUACGCUGUUGUUGGUGAUGGAACUCGCUUCCUGAGCUGACGACAGCCGCAGAAACCAGGCCGCUGCAACUGUUUAUUAAAAACAUAGCACUCUGCAAACACGAAAGUGGACGUAUAGGGUGUGAUGCCUGCCCGGUGCUGGAAGGUUAAUUGAUGGGGUUAGCGUAAGCGAAGCUCUUGAUCGAAGCCCCAGUAAACGGCGGCCGUAACUAUAACGGUCCUAAGGUAGCGAAAUUCCUUGUCGGGUAAGUUCCGACCUGCACGAAUGGCAUAAUGAUGGCGGCGCUGUCUCCAGCAGAGGCUCAGUGAAAUCGAAAUCGCUGUGAAGAUGCAGUGUACCCGCGGCUAGACGGAAAGACCCCGUGAACCUUUACUGCAGCUUGACACUGAACUUUGACCUUACUUGUGUAGGAUAGGUGGGAGGCUUUGAAGCUGGAACGCUAGUUCCAGUGGAGCCGUCCUUGAAAUACCACCCUGGUAAUGUUGAGGUUCUAACUCUGUCCCGUGAUCCGGGACGAGGACCGUGUCUGGUGGGUAGUUUGACUGGGGCGGUCUCCUAAAGAGUAACGGAGGAGUACGAAGGUGCGCUCAGCGUGGUCGGAAAUCACGCGUAGAGUAUAAAGGCAAAAGCGCGCUUAACUGCGAGACCCACAAGUCGAGCAGGUACGAAAGUAGGUCUUAGUGAUCCGGUGGUUCUGUAUGGAAGGGCCAUCGCUCAACGGAUAAAAGGUACUCUGGGGAUAACAGGCUGAUACCGCCCAAGAGUUCAUAUCGACGGCGGUGUUUGGCACCUCGAUGUCGGCUCAUCUCAUCCUGGGGCUGAAGCAGGUCCCAAGGGUAUGGCUGUUCGCCAUUUAAAGAGGUACGCGAGCUGGGUUUAGAACGUCGUGAGACAGUUCGGUCCCUAUCUACCGUGGGCGCUGGAAAUUUGAGAGGAUCUGCUCCUAGUACGAGAGGACCAGAGUGGACGAACCUCUGGUGUACCGGUUGUGACGCCAGUCGCAUCGCCGGGUAGCUAUGUUCGGAAGGGAUAACCGCUGAAAGCAUCUAAGCGGGAAGCCUACCUCAAGAUAAGAUUUCCCUAGGACUUUAUGUCCUCUAAAGAGCCGUUCGAGACUAGGACGUUGAUAGGUUGGAUGUGGAAGCAUAGUGAUAUGUGAAGCUGACCAAUACUAAUUGCUCGUGAGGCUUGACUA
rnacentral:rRNA from 1 species